rnacentral:rRNA from 1 species
GAUGAACGCUGGCGGCGUGCCUAAUACAUGCAAGUCGAGCGAAUGGAUUAAGAGCUUGCUCUUAUGAAGUUAGCGGCGGACGGGUGAGUAACACGUGGGUAACCUGCCCAUAAGACUGGGAUAACUCCGGGAAACCGGGGCUAAUACCGGAUAACAUUUUGAACCGCAUGGUUCGAAAUUGAAAGGCGGCUUCGGCUGUCACUUAUGGAUGGACCCGCGUCGCAUUAGCUAGGUGGUGAGGUAACGGCUCACCAAGGCAACGAUGCGUAGCCGACCGGAGAGGGUGCUCGGCCACACUGGGACUGAGACACGGCCCAGACUCCUACGGGAGGCAGCAGUAGGGAAUCUUCCGCAAUGGACGAAAGUCUGACGGAGCAACGCCGCGUGAGUGAUGAAGGCUUUCGGGUCGUAAAACUCUGUUGUUAGGGAAGAACAAGUGCUAGUUGAAUAAGCUGGCACCUUGACGGUACCUAACCAGAAAGCCACGGCUAACUACGUGCCAGCCGCCGCGGUAA